GCAUAUCAAUAAGCGGAGGAAAAGAAACUAACAAGGAUUCCCUUAGUAACGGCGAGUGAACCGGGAAGAGCUCAAAUUUGUAAUCUGGCGUCCUUCGGGCGUCCGAGUUGUAAUCUAAAGAGGUGUUUUCCGCGCCGGACCAUGUUUAAGUCUCCUGGAACGGAGUAUCAAAGAGGGUGACAAUCCCGUACUUGACAUGACGACCGGUGCUAUGUGAUACAUCCUCAACGAGUCGAGUUGUUUGGGAAUGCAGCUCUAAACGGGUGGUAAAUUCCAUCUAAGGCUAAAUAUUGGCGAGAGACCGAUAGCGAACAAGUACCGUGAGGGAAAGAUGAAAAGCACUUUGGAAAGAGAGUUAAACAGCACGUGAAAUUGUUAAAAGGGAAACGAUUGAAGUCAGUCGUGCACAAGGUAUUCAGCUGUCUCUGGCAGUGUAUUUGCCUUGUGCGGGUCAACAUCAGUUCUGAUCGACGGAAAAGGGUAGAAAGAAGGUGGCACCCUCGGGUGUGUUAUAGCUUUCUGCCGUAUACGUCGGUUGGGACUGAGGAAUGCAGCUUGCCGCAAGGCCGGGGUUCGCCCACGUUCAAGCUUAGGAUGUUGACAUAAUGGCUUUAAACGACCCGUCUUGAAACACGGACC
rnacentral:rRNA from 1 species